rnacentral:rRNA from 1 species
GUUAGAAUCUCAACUGCUAGGAAUCAUAAAAGGGAUAACCAAAUUAAAGUUUGGCUAAUACCUGAAUAACAAGGUUACGUAAGUAACUAGCGGAAGGAUGGGCUGACCCCCACUUUCCAUGAGUAAUAUGUGCUUGCAUAUGUUGCUCGGUAAACUGAUUCUGGGUGCUUGCUUCGGUAAGCUCAUUCUUGGCGUCAUUCGUGGCGUUAAGAGACACUAGUCGGUCGAGGAGAAGACUUUCUUCACAAUUAGUUAUGUUGCUAGGAUAGAGACCUAGCAAGACUAUAAUUGUUUCGAGAAAUUAGCGUUUGAUUUCGGAGAGAAAGCCUUACAAACAGCUAUCACAUCUAAGGAAGGCAGCAGGCGCGAAAAUUACCCAAUGAGGACAUCUUGAGGUAGUGACAAGACGUAACGACCUCACGGCGAACAGCUGGGAGGGUAGGUAGUAAAAUACCUUUGGAAUGGUUACAUUCUAAAUCAAUGUAAGAGUAGCAAUUAGAGGAAGAGUCUGGUGCCAGCACCCGCGGUAAUUCCAGCUCUAAUAGUAUAUAUUAAUAUUGUUGUAUUUAAAACGUUCGUAGCUAAUUUAAGGGGCUUGUUUAUGAUGUCGGAGUAAAUGGAUGUUCGAGCUGGANAGCAAUNUCUAGUAAGAAUGGCAAAAGCCGCACUUCGGUGUUUCUGUUUCUUCUUUAGCGUGAACCUUUAUGAAGAUUCCAAUGGUUUCGGAUUUUAGGGGAACGUGGCAGCAUAAGCUUGUUCUGUUUCGAGAUUGUGAGUAAAUCCGCACGCUUCAAGUAGGCAUUGUGAUCUUGUAUUUAUACUCGAUAUUUGCUUGCAGGAUUUAGCAUGAUAUCUCAACGAAGACGCCCCAACUUCGGGAAGGGCGUUGCUCAUAAUGGGAUAGGUUGAAGUGACAGGUAUUGACGGGAUAGAGGUGAAAUUCAAUAACCCCGUUGAGACCAACCAAGGCGAAAGCAUGUUACAGUCACCUUUUCGUCAGUGAGGAACUAACGUUAAGGGAUCAAAGAUGAUUAGAUACCGUUGUAGUCUUGACCUUAAACUAUGUCAACAGAGAAUUACAAGGAAACCCUAAAUGAUCUUUGUAGCACUCAAAGGAAACUUCAAGUGUCUCGAUUAUAGGGGGAGUAUUAUCGCAAGAUUGAAACUUAAAAGAAUUGACGGAAAAGCACCACCAGGCGUGGAAUCUGCGGCUUAAUUCGACUCAACACGGGGAAACUUACCAAGUUAGGACACAAAUAGGAUUGACAGGUUAAAGACCUUUCUUGAUUUUGUGGAAGGUGGUGCAUGGCCAUUCUUAGUUCGUGGAGUGAUUUGUCUUGUUGAUUCAGAUAACGAGCGAGAUCUCUACCUACUAAUUAAGCGCAUAGUUUGAUCCUUCGGGAGAGAACCYAGCUAUCUUCGGAUAGUUUGCAAUAACUUUAUAGUUAAAUUUCUUUUAGAGGUAUCACUCGACGUCAUAAGUCAGGUGAAAGUAGAGGCAAUAAUAGGUCUGUUAUGCCCUUAGAUAUCUUGGGAUGCACGCGUAUUACAAUGAGUUAUACAUCGGGUAAAAACGUAUCUUCUUUAUGAUGAUGCAACCAGUCCUUAGCGGGAUAGGAAAACCUACAAUAUAACUCUUGGUAAGGAUUGUAACUUGCAAAUGUUACAUGAAUCAGGAAUGCCUAGUAAUCGCGCUUCAGCAAAUCGCAAUGAUUAUGUCCCUGCUUUUUGUACACACCGCCCGUCGCAUCAAGGAACACGCUAGAGACCAUGAAGUACACGGAGUAGGGCCYUCGGGCAAUGCGAAGUGUAAUGAAUCGUCUUUAGUUUACCAUGGUAAAGUCGUAACAAGGUAUCC